rnacentral:rRNA from 1 species
CCUACGGGUGGCAGCAGUGAGGAAUAUUGGUCAAUGGGCGCGAGCCUGAACCAGCCAUGUCGCGUGCAGGAUGACUGCCCUACGGGUUGUAAACUGCUUUUAUAAAGGAGUAAAGUGAGGCACGUGUGCCUUUUUGUAUGUACUUUAUGAAUAAGGAUCGGCUAACUCCGUGCCAGCAGCCGCGGUAAUACGGAGGAUCCGAGCGUUAUCCGGAUUUAUUGGGUUUAAAGGGAGCGUAGACGGGCUGUUAAGUUAGUGGUGAAAGUCUGCGGCUCAACCGCAAAAUUGCAAUUGAUACUGGCAGUCUUGAGUACAGUUGAGGUAGGCGGAAUGCGUGGUGUAGCGGUGAAAUGCUUAGAGAUCACGAAGAACUCCGAUUGCGAAGGCAGCUUACUAAGCUGCCACUGACAUUGAUGCUCGAAAGUGUGGGUAGCAAACAGGAUUAGAUACCCGGGUAGUC